AGGCAAUCAUCAACGCUUAUAAGGAAGUUUUCCUACAGUUUCUCUUAGUCGUUGCUUAUUUUUCAGUUGGGCCAAUCAGUAUACAGACAAAUAAAGUCUGAGGAACUUAAACAACCUUUUUUACCGUUCUUAAAUGACAUAUACAUAUUAUAUGAGUCUAUUAUUAGCUUUUGCGCCCACGUUUCAGGUUCUAUGCACCUUCAUAAUUUUGUAAAACAAGUCACCUUCUUCUAAUAUUGGAAUACUUCGAGAAAAAAUUAUGUUCUUGACGUGGAAGGAUAAUAAUCGUU